AGCUUCCCUUAUUGGUUUGGAGUGUGCUGGUGAUCGAAGUUGUGCUUUUUUGUCGGAACUACUAAAGGAAGGCAUGGAUGAGAACCAGCAGCAAAGCAAAGAAAACAAAAGUGCUGAUGAGGUGCCACUUGAGUCUGUAAAUGGAAAGAAAACACUGAAAAAUGACGGUAGGGAAUACAUUGCUUGCACUAUAAAGUAUUGAAAGUAAUUUGCAACUCUCCAUAUUUGUUAUUUGUAAUUGACAUGCUUUGCACAGGUGUUGUGGGGUUAGUGGAGAAGUUAACUGUAUUUCAAAAAUUAAAUCACUUUAAAUUGCAGUGAAAGCUAUUACUUUUAUAGUUAUAAAAGUAUCAAAGGUAACU